rnacentral:rRNA from 1 species
UGCCUGGCAGUUCCCUACUCUCGCAUGGGGAGACCCCACACUACCAUCGGCGCUACGGCGUUUCACUUCUGAGUUCGGCAUGGGGUCAGGUGGGACCACCGCGCUACAGCCGCCA